AAACCGGAGGAAGGUGGGGAUGACGUCAAAUCAUCAUGCCCCUUAUGAUUUGGGCUACACACGUGCUACAAUGGACAAUACAAAGGGCAGCGAAACCGCGAGGUCAAGCAAAUCCCAUAAAGUUGUUCUCAGUUCGGAUUGUAGUCUGCAACUCGACUACAUGAAGCUGGAAUCGCUAGUAAUCGUAGAUCAGCAUGCUACGGUGAAUACGUUCCCGGGUCUUGUACACACCGCCCGUCACACCACGAGAGUUUGUAACACCCGAAGCCGGUGGAGUAACCAUUUGGAGCUAGCCGUCGAAGGUGGGACAAAUGAUUGGGGUGAAGUCGUAACAAGGUAGCCGUAUCGGAAGGUGCGGCUGGAUCACCUCCUUUCUAAGGA
rnacentral:rRNA from 1 species